GCCCAUAUAGCUCAGUUGGAUAGAGCACCGCUUUCCUAAAGCGGGGGUCGCAGGUUCGAAUCCUGCUAUGGGUA
rnacentral:tRNA from 1 species